rnacentral:rRNA from 1 species
CGCGGCCUAUCAGCUUGUUGGCGGGGUAACGGCCCACCAAGGCUAAGACGGGUAGCUGGUCUGAGAGGACGAUCAGCCACACUGGGACUGAGACACGGCCCAGACUCCUACGGGAGGCAGCAGUGGGGAAUCUUGCGCAAUGGGCGUAAGCCUGACGCAGCAACGCCGCGUGGGGGAUGAAGGCCUUCGGGUUGUAAACCCCUUUCAGCAGGGACGAAAAUGACGGUACCUGCAGAAGAAGCUCCGGCCAACUACGUGCCAGCAGCCGCGGUAAUACGUAGGGGGCAAGCGUUGUCCGGAUUCAUUGGGCGUAAAGAGCUCGUAGGCGGUUCAGUAAGUUGGGUGUGAAAGCUCCGGGCUCAACCCGGAGAGGCCACUCAAUACUGCUGUGACUAGAGUCCAGUAGAGGAGCGUGGGACUCCUGGUGUAGCGGUGAAAUGCGCAGAUAUCAGGAAGAACACCGGCAGCGAAGGCGGCGCCCUGGGCUGGUACUGACGCUGAGGAGCGAAAGCAUGGGUAGCAAACAGGAUUAGAUACCCUGGUAGUCCAUGCCGUAAACGUUGGGCACUAGGUGUGGGGAGGAAUCAACCCUCUCCGUGCCGUAGCUAACGCAUUAAGUGCCCCGCCUGGGGAGUACGG